rnacentral:rRNA from 1 species
UCUGGUUGAUCCUGCCAGUGGUCAUAUGCUUGUCUCAAAGAUUAAGCCAUGCAUGUCUAAGUAUAAAUAGUAUACAGUGAAACUGCGAAUGGCUCAUUAAAACAGUUAUAGUUUAUCUGAUAAUUGACAAUUACAUGGAUAACCGUGGUAAUUCUAGAGCUAAUACAUGCUUAAACGCCCGACUUUAUGGAAGGGUGGUAUUUAUUAGACUGAAGCCAAUAUUCCUUGUGUCUAUUGCGGUGAUUCAUAAUAACUGAUCGAAUCUCUUUUUGAGAUAAAUCAUUCAAGUUUCUGCCCUAUCAGCUUUCGAUGGUAGUGUAUUGGACUACCAUGGCAGUAACGGGUAACGAAGAAUUAGGGUUCGAUUUCGGAGAGGGAGCAUGAGAAACGGCUACCACAUCUAAGGAAGGCAGCAGGCGCGUAAAUUACCCAAUCCUGACUCAGGGAGGUAGUGACAAGAAAUAGCAAACCGGGAACCUCAUGGUUUCACGGUAUUGCAAUGAGAACAAUUUAAAACCCUUAGCGAGAAUCAAGUGGAGGACAAGUCUGGUGCCAGCACCCGCGGUAAUUCCAGCUCCACUAGCGUAUAUUAAAGUUGUUGCAGUUAAAAAGCUCGUAGUUGAACCUCUGUCUGGGGCUAGUUUUGGCUUUGGUCAGGCUAGUUCUAGGCAUCCGCCUACAAGACUUAGAGGGCAUUCAGUUGUUCACUAGGAGGAGUAGGCAUUUUACUUUGAAAAAAUUAGAGUGUUUAAGGCAGGCAAUCGCCCGCAUACAUUAGCAUGGAAUAAUAGAAUAGGACACUUUUCCAUUUCGUUGGUUAUUGGAACCGUGUAAUGAUUAAUAGGGACAGUUGUGGGCAUGUGUAUUUAAUUGUCAGAGGUGAAAUUCUUGGAUUUAUUAAAGACAAACUAACGCGAAAGCAUUUGCCAAGGAUGUUUUCAUUAAUCAAGAACGAAAGUUAGGGGAUCAAAGACGAUCAGAUACCGUCCUAGUCUUAACUAUAAACUAUUCCGACUCAAUGUUUGACUGGCUUAUAUAACCAGUUGAGCGUUGUAUGAGAAAUCAAAGUCUUUAGGUUCUGGGGGGAGUAUGGUUGCAAAGCUGAAACUUAAAGGAAUUGACGGAAGAGCACAACCAGGAGUGGAUUCUGCGGCUUAAUUUGACUCAACACGGGGAAACUUACCAGGUUAAAACAAUAGUGGGAUUGACAGUUUGAGAGCGCUUUCUUGAUUGGUUGGGUGGUGGUGCAUGGCCGUUCUUAGUUGGUGGAGUGAUUUGUCUGCUUAAUUGCGUUAACGAACGAGACCUUAACCUGCUUACUAGACU